AAACUUCCCAACACGGAAACUAUGACCUUCAGAAAUCACGUCAACUCACAAGAUGACUUUAAAAGCGACAGAGACAUAAUUUGUCCCCCUGCAGCCCCACUGAUGCUGUGGACAAACAUGCAAUUUCACAAGUCAUGCAGCAGCAUUGAUGACCACCUGAGGGGGAAGAGAGGAUCAGCAGCUGUAGCUCCUCGCUGUAGGCCGAGCGAAGAAUAGGACUGACAUUUACUGCACCGCACUGGACAAACAGCUCGUCCCCUGCCAGGAAACCAGCUCCCCAGCUGCAUUUGAUGAAUUGUUUAAAUCCUACUGCCUGCUCAACCUGUCCUAUAAAGAGUCCCAAGAUGUACAUCUUUGUGCAGACGACCGUGAAUAACAUCAACGUUGGAGCAUCCGAGACCUCGAGUGUUUGUGAACUGCGGGCAAAACUAAAACUUUUCUUGACAGCUGCAGCAACGUUCAGUCUGAAGUCUCCAGGACUCAACCCCGACAAACCACGCCCACUGGUGAUGUGCAGGUCAACCAAUAGCCAGCGCUCGUCAGGUAAACCUGAUAGAAAAUAUUUGUGGCAAACGGGUCAAAAAGGGCAUUCCCAGUAAGUUAUUAAAACAUUGUGUAAAAGUCCACCUUCU